GUUAUAUGGUCAAGUGAAGAAGCGCAUACGGUGGCAUGCCUUGGCAGUCAGAGGCGAUGAAAGACGUGGUAGCCUGCGAUAAGCUUCGGGGAGUCGGCAAACAGACUUUGAUCCGGAGAUCUCUGAAUGGGGAAACCCACCUGGGAUAACCUAGGUAUCUUGUACUGAAUCCAUAGGUGCAAGAGGCGAACCAGGGGAACUGAAACAUCUAAGUACCCUGAGGAAAAGAAAUCAACCGAGAUUCCCUUAGUAGUGGCGAGCGAACGGGGACUAGCCCUUAAGCUUCUUUGAAUCUAACAGAACGCUCUGGAAAGUG
rnacentral:rRNA from 1 species